rnacentral:rRNA from 1 species
UACGUAGGGCGCAAGGCGUUGUCCGGAAUUAUUGGGCGUAAAAGAGCUCGUAGGCGGCUUUGUCACGUCGGAUGUGAAAAGCCCGAGGCUUAACCUCGGGUCUGCAUUCGAUACGGGCUAGCUAGAGUGUGGUAGGGGAGAUCGGAAUUCCUGGUGUAGCGGUGAAAUGCGCAGAUAUCAGGAGGAACACCGGUGGCGAAGGCGGAUCUCUGGGCCAUUACUGACGCUGAGGAGCGAAAGCGUGGGGAGCGAACAGG